GUUCUGCAGGAAGGAGGACAGCAGACUUUAGGACCCCACAGCACGGCAGUGCUGACCAUUUCACCCUCUUGGUCCCCUUGAGGAAUAGGGACGGGGAGCCCUCUGGGGAUGGGCGAGGUCUUCCAGGACAGGCUUGAUUUUGGUCCUGUUUUCUGAGGUUGGGUUAAAACACCGACCAUGGCAGAGGGGGCACAGCUCGGGUUCCCACACAUCACUUUUCACAGCCUCCAAGGGCAGCAGUGCAUGUGGAGGAGACGUUUCCCAUGAGGCCAAGGCCUUCAGUGCUCACCGAUGCCCUCGGCGAAGUUGGGGUAGAACUCGUCGGUGAAGAGGGGCUCGGGCAGCUCACGGAAGUACAGCUUCAGCGUCCCUGCGAUGGCGUUCACAUCCAUCUCGCUCAUCAUCACCGACACAUCCUUGUUAUCUGGAAAGAGCAUGGAAAUGCAGCGGCCUCCUUCAGGAUCCCAAUAAAUGAAAAAAAGACACAGCGAAGGAUAUGACAUGCCCAGGCCAUGGAGUGCUCUGAGAUCUCAUCGCCAACACCACCGCCCACACCUCCAUCCCGUCCUGCGCAGGCCGACACUCACUGACGUCGAAGGCUGCCUUCAGUGCCUGGAUGUCCGUGGCCACUCCGGACACGCGGUAGAUGCCCACCUCCUCCAUGCCUCGGCGCUCGAUCUCCUCCACGCACUGGCGUACGAUGUAGGGCACCUUGGACCUCUCUCUCCUAUGGAAGGAGGAAAUGUUCUCAAUGUCCUGACAGCCCUGCUUGGGCCACAACACAGGAAACCUGUCCCCUAUCUAUACACAUGGAGGUGGAGUGAGGACAGUGACGAAGAUGCCCAGGUCUGGGACUGCACACACAGCCUUCUGCAUGCCUGCCCUCCCUCUGCAAGCCCUGUCCUCAUUGCAUGUACUUUCUCAGGACCUUUCUAAGAGGCUGAAGCAGCCAGACCCUCUGCAAAUCACACAUGAUCUUUGUGGGAAGGUCAGGAGUCCUAAGUAAAGUCAGCACAGAAAGGGCAUCUGAUAGAUUCCAGGCCUGGGGUUAGCAGCCUGUGCCCCCAGCUGGGGGAUCAGACCCGGUGUUGGUCCUGCCACCCGCGUGCUGUGUGAGAGGAGAAUCCCUGACCCCUGCCCUGGGCUUGGACCUUAACACAUCUGACGAAUGAAGGGUUGCCUCAGCACCAGCAGCUCCUGUGCUGCUAAGUGCUUUUCUCCUCUGAAUCUUAGCGAUGAACAAUUCCAAUACCGUCACACAGGACACUAGAGUAAGAAUACUUCAAAGUGAGCGCCGUGCUGAGGCCUUUAGUUCUGUUUUGCAACUGGAUUUGGGAGCACAUCAAAGCUGCUUCUCAAGCCACCCUCAUUAGCAGUGGUUAUUUGGGGGAGCUGCUGCUGGAGUCCUCGCUGCUCAUGCCCAGAGCCCUCCCAGAGUGCUACACAAGUGGCUGCCGUGCAGUUGGGGGUGGGGAGUGGUGUUUAGACACAGAAAGGAGUCCAGGGUGUGACUGAUGGAGGCCCCAGCCCACAUGACCAGCAAGUUCAGGGGCCCAGCUGGAUUCCAUCCUGGGGAAGCAAAUGAAUUCUCAGAGGAAGUGGUCUGUGUCUGCAAGAACUGCUCUCAAACCAAACAGGUUUCUCUUGGCAACUGACUCGUGACAAAGGGGCAGGGGUUAUGGCCAUUCAACAGGAACCUGGGACCAUGACAAAUUCCAAGCGAGGGCAGAAAACCGUGCACUUGGGCAGUUCCUGGAGCCAGCCCUACUGCUUCCAAGCAAGGCGGCAAGGACAUUCCUGAGCUGGUAAACACAGGAGGUAGCUGAACACACCAAGUGUUCCCUGGGGCCUGACCUCACCACGCAGCGGCCACACAGAGAGAGGAGAGACCCACACAUGCUCUUCUCUGCAGAAACAGCUGAAGGGACAGGCACCCUCAGUGCAUGAGCCCAAGCCCCUCCCCACUCACUUGGUGACCACAGCAAUCUUGACUCCGAAGACCCCUGUCUGUUUUCGGGAUGGCAUCCUCUUCAAGCUGAACUCCCUGCUGUUGAACUUGAUCGAGAGCUUUACUUCAAUCUAUAGAGGGGAGAAAGGGCACAGUCCUCUGAUCUAUCUGGUCCUCAAAGCCCAAGGUCCCAAGGGCCCCUGGGAGUCUCAUCAAAUAUUUCCACCCCCAAGGCAUGCAGUGGUCUCAGCAUGAGGUAGGGCUGCCCCUCAGGGAAUCCCCUAGUCUACUUCAGCAACAGCCGGGAUUGUUGAAGAUGGUGUAAAGGACUGGCUUCUGCAGAACCACCUCCUAAAAUCCCCGCUGCUUCUCUU